CUGUUAUUCCUNGAAGGAGCACCAGGGGCGAAGGCGUCUCACCAGAACGGGACCUGACGGCAAGGGACGAAAGCUAGGGGCACGAACCGGAUUAGAUAUCCCGGUAGUCCUAGCCGUAAACGAUACUCGCUAGGUGUCGGCCACGGUGCGACCGUUGUCGGUUCCGUAGGGAAGCCGUGAAGCGAGCCACCUGGGAAGUACGGCCGCAAGGCUGAAACUUAAAGGAAUUGGCGGGGGAGCACCACAACGGGUGGAGCUUGCGGUUUAAUUGGAUUCAACGCCGGAAAUCUUANCGGGACCGACAGCAAUAUGAAGGCCAGGCUGAAGACUUUGCCGGAUUAGCUGAGAGGUGGUGCAUGGCCGUCGUCAGUUCGUACUGUGAAGCAUCCUGUUAAGUCAGGCAACGAGCGAGACCCACGCCCACAGUUGCCAGCGUACUCUCCGGAGUGACGGGUACACUGUGGGGACCGCCGCUGCUAAAGCGGAGGAAGGAAUGGGCAACGGUAGGUCAGUAUGCCCCGAAUAUCCCGGGCUACACGCGAGCUACAAUGGUUGGUACAAUGGGUAUCUACCCCGAAAGGGGAUGGAAAUCUCCUAAAGCCAAUCCUAGUUCGGAUUGAGGGCUGCAACCCGCCCUCAUGAAGCUGGAAUCCGUAGUAAUCGCGUUUCAACAGAACGCGGUGAAUACGUCCCUGCUCCUUGCACAC
rnacentral:rRNA from 1 species